UAUCCAGACUCCUACGGGAGGCAGCAGUGGGGAAUAUUGCACAAUGGGGGGAACCCUGAUGCAGCGACGCCGCGUGGGUGAAGGAGUAUUUCGGUAUGUAAAGCCCUAUCAGCAGGGAAGAACAAUGACGGUACCUGACUAAGAAGCACCGGCUAAAUACGUGCCAGCAGCCGCGGUAAUACGUAUGGUGCAAGCGUUAUCCGGAUUUACUGGGUGUAAAGGGAGCGUAGGCGGCGAUGCAAGUCAGAAGUGAAAGCCCGGGGCUCAACUCCGGGACUGCUUUUGAAACUGUAUGGCUAGAUUGCAGGAGAGGCAAGUGGAAUCCCUAGUGUAGCGGUGAAAUGCGUAGAUAUUAGGAGGAACACCAGUGGCGAAGGCGGCUUGCUGGACUGUAAAUGACGCUGAGGCUCGAAAGCGUGGGGAGCAAACAGGAUUAGAUACCCCGGUACAG
rnacentral:rRNA from 1 species